rnacentral:lncRNA from 1 species
AUGAACUAUAUCUUAAGAAUUCAUAAAGCCCUAAAAAGUAAAUAUUUACAACCAGAAAUCUUUCUGACAAAGAAACAAGAUUACUCAAAGUAAGUAGUAGUUUGGGCUCCCUGGAAAGAACCCAGAACUUAAGUGUCAGGAAAUGUGGAUAGUUCUGAAUGUGCCCCUGGCUGGUUGAUGACUCUGGGCAACUUAUGCAGUACCUCUAACUCAUGGUUUAUUUACCUGAAAAAUAAGUGGGUUGGCUAUGUCUGUGGUUUGAAAGGUGCUCUAUGAUGUCCCAGAUGUCUUAGCAGUGUGUCAUUGGCUGUUUUGGAGGCUGUCAGGGGUCCAGAUGGCUGCUCCCACUGAGCCUGCUUUUAACAGAGCUUUUCAGUUUGUAUUUCUUGUAUACACAAAGUAAUAUUAAAUAAAAAAAAUAUAAUCCAGCUAAGAAAGUUUGAGAAUACUGGCUUGAGAUUCAAAAUAAAAUAAACCAAAAAUUUUAGAAAUUAUAUUAGUCUAGAAAGAUAGUAUUGUGUCUCUUUGUCUUUUUAGUACCUAGCACAUAUCAGGUACUUGAUACAUAUUUAUCAUAUGAAUGCAAUGGUUGUAAUGAACAACUGGGAAGGAAAUGCAAAAGCAGAAGGCACCAUAUUUGUGUUGCUAUUCCUGGGUGUCAUUUCUAUGUAACUUGUGAUAACCAGUAGUAAAGAACAACAUGGACUAUGUUUAAUAGACAACAACUAAUUUUAUUGGAUUUGUGUACAUAAUCUGAAAUUUAGUCUAAGGACAAGCCAUAUUACUAUAAAUUUCAGGAAAUCUAGAGAGAGAAAAUGGGCAAUUUAGAACAGACUGGAAGAGUAACUCUUUCAGUUUGUCUGGAAAACCGAAUCUAAGGAAUAAGUUCAGUUUGCAGUUUCUUUCAAGUAGAAUUGGUGACUCUUGGAUGCAGUUUAUAAACACGUAACACAUUUUCCUUGCAUGGAAAUAUCUAUUCUAUGACCUCUUCUACAUGAAGAAAAGAUUUGAAAUUUUCUUCUCCAUUAAAUAAUGUUUUGUGUGCGUGUUGCAAAAAUAAGAGAGAAGCAAGAAUAACUCUAGCAGAUGCUUAAAGGUUUAAGAUUAAAGACACAUGUAAAUGUGAUUCAUAGUGGGUGUUCUGUGCACUUGAGUGAAUAUUCCCAAAUCACAGCUAGAAAAAUUUAGGAGUAAAUUGACUUAACUUAUGGUAAAUCAAUAGUGGUCCCUGAAUUGGAGGGAAACAGAUGAGCAAGAAAAAAAUUAUUUGACAGGACUCCACUAAGGAAAACAACAUUCAAGUAACAGAUGAGGUAUUGUACUGCCCAGAGGAAUUACCCAGCCUUUAGCAAGGCGAAGUCAGCCUCAACUGGCAGGAGGUUUGUUUUAAAACUGAAAUGAGAAAAAGGAUCUGGGCUUACAAAUGAUGGGAAGAUAUAUUAUCAACAGGGAAAAAAAACCCCCAGAAAAUAGCAACUAACUUGUUUCCCCAGCACAACUGAAAGGAUGAAGAAGGAAAACAAUUUAAUGUACCCUGGUCAUGCAGUUACUUUCCUUUAUCCUUACUAACAGUGCUUGUCAAGAUGGUUCUGGAAACUGAAUAAAUGUAAGUAAUGAAUCAUGA